UGAGAGAGCAUAUGGUAAAGACGUACCCUCUGUCUCCCUGUUUACAUUUCAGUGUUCUGAAAAAGCAAUUAUUUAUUUAAAAUCCUGAAACAAGAAACUUCUUUUUUAAAAUCUUUGCAUUUGCACUUGAUUACAAACUCCUAUUGAAGAUUUUCUUAUGAAUAGAGCAUCUGCUGGGUAUCCUGUCCAGAUGGAAUCUCCAGUAAAGGACAUACUCAUCUCUAUCAUUCUUGUCAGCAAGUAACCAGAAGGAAGAGAUUUAUAAAGCAGAUGUCAGAAUGUCAAAUCUGACUUCAGCUGAUUUUCUGUAAGUUUAUUAUCAUAUGAACUACUGUGUUUAAGGAUAUAUAAAAAAGCCCAAAGUUUUGCUUGCAUUAGUAAAUAAAAUAUUUUAAAUGAGAAGCCUACA
rnacentral:lncRNA from 1 species